rnacentral:rRNA from 1 species
UACGAAGGGGGCUAGCGUUGCUCGGAAUCACUGGGCGUAAAGGGUGCGUAGGCGGGCCGUUAAGUCCGGGGUGAAAUCCUGGAGCUCAACUCCAGAACUGCCUUUGAUACUGAAGAUCUUGAGUUCGGGAGAGGUGAGUGGAACUGCGAGUGUAGAGGUGAAAUUCGCAGAUAUUCGCAAGAACACCAGUGGCGAAGGCGGCUCACUGGCCCGAUACUGACGCUGAGGCACGAAAGCGUGGGGAGCAAACAGG